rnacentral:rRNA from 1 species
GACGAACGCUGGCGGCGUGCUUAACACAUGCAAGUCGAACGGGAGUAUUGAAGAAGCUUGCUUUAGAGAUACUUUAGUGGCGGACGGGUGAGUAACGCGUGAGGAGCUGUCCGAUGCAGGGGGACAACAGUUGGAAACGACUGCUAAUACCCCAUAAGCCGAGAGGUAAAAGGAUUUAUCCGGCAAUGGAGGUACUCGCGUCCUAUCAGCUAGUAGGUGAGGUAACGGCUCACCUAGGCGAAGACGGGUAGCCGGCCUGAGAGGGCGAACGGCCACACUGGAACUGAGAUACGGUCCAGACUCCUACGGGAGGCAGCAGUGGGGAAUAUUGGGCAAUGGGGGGAACCCUGACCCAGCGACGCCGCGUGGGUGAAGAAAUCCUUCGGGAUGUAAAGCCCUGUUGUAUGGGAAGAGCGGAAGACGGUACCAUACGAGGAAGCCCCGGCAAACUACGUGCCAGCCGCCGCCGUAA